GUAAUAUAAGAUACGAUCUCUUAGCUUUUAACUAAAAAAACUAAGAGACGUCUCUUAAAUAAGAGAUAUAAGAGACGUUUCUUAGCUUUUUUAGUUAAAGAUAAAAGAUUGUAUCUUAUAUUAC
rnacentral:pre_miRNA from 1 species